rnacentral:rRNA from 1 species
GACGAACGCUGGCGGCGUGCCUAAUACAUGCAAGUAGAACGCACAGUUUAUACCGUAGCUUGCUACACCAUAAACUGUGAGUUGCGAACGGGUGAGUAACGCGUAGGUAACCUGCCUGGUAGCGGGGGAUAACUAUUGGAAACGCUAGCUAAUACCGCAUAAUAUUAAUUAUUGCAUGAUAAUUGAUUGAAAGAUGCAAUUGCAUCACUACCAGAUGGACCUGCGUUGUAUUAGCUAGUAGGUGGGGUAACGGCUCACCUAGGCGACGAUACAUAGCCGACCUGGGGGGGUGGUCGGCCACACUGGGACUGAGACACGGCCCAGACUCCUACGGGAGGCAGCAGUAGGGAAUCUUCGGCAAUGGACGGAAGUCUGACCGAGCCACGCCGCGUGAGUGAAGAAGGUUUUCGGGUCGUAAAGCUCUGUUGUAAGGGAAGAACGGGUGUGAGAGUGGAAAGUUCACACUGUGACGGUAUCUUACCAGAAAGGGACGGCUAACUACGUG